CAGAUAGUGACACUUACAGGGUCAACAAUGACUUUUAGAGGCAGAAAUUGUAGUGUUAAGAAGCAGUGCAAGUAAUGAAAGAUUCCAAGCAGCUGGAGAAGAAAGGAGUGUUCGGAUAAGGAAGCAAUUGCCAACAUCUUGACACCGCUGCUUAAGACUGAGUCACCGUGGAAACAGAUGGAAAUGUGUCAGGUUAAAAAGGCAGAAGCGUUGGAUUCACUGCACCCCAAAACCUGCUAAUUCCACCCCCUGCAUGUGAGACAUUUGCAGACUACAUAUGGUGGCAUCCGUGUGUCUCGUUCUGUCUCAAAUGCGCUCUAAUAAUAUUAUGAAGCAGCUCUCAAAAAGUGGGAUCAGAGACAGCUGGGGCCUUCGACUUGGGAUGUAAAGAACCAUACGGUAAAGUCAAACCCAACGGCAUCCAUGGACUGUAUGCAUGUUUGACAGUGUAAAGUUUCUUUAUAAAACCUGCCUUUGACUUAAGUUGACCUCAACGCAGGUUGAACAUCAGGUGCAUUCAUACAUUGCCCCCCACGAGCACAGUACAGUGUGUUCGAGGCACCAAUCUAAAACUUUAUAUUACAUUAUUAUUUCAGAGAGGUGACUGAAAGGAGUUAGCACUACUUUUCUGUGACAAAUACAUAGCCUUUUCCUGUGGUUUCUUCACAAUAAAAGAUGUGUGUGUUGCAUCCCACUAUGAAGGCAUUUAUUGUUAUCGCUGAUGACAGUGGAGUUGAACGUGCCUUUAUACUAAUUAAAUGGUUUUAAAAUGUCCAGAGAAACCAGAAUGCUUUUGCUUUUAUUUUUCUUCCUCUCUACACAAAUGGAUAACGUUUCUGAUGAAUGCAUUCCGUUUCUGAAAUGACCCUGUCAUGUAUCAUCUGUAGUCACCCCAAUAAUCACUGGAAAGCAAACAGG
rnacentral:lncRNA from 1 species